CAUUUGGGAGUGUAUAUAUUAGGAGACCCUAACACAGAAAUCUUACAAGCUUCAAAGAACAUGAAAGAGGUCUGGAGCCGCCGCCAAAGAAUUCUUUCUGCCUUCACAGACUCAGAUUUCAAUGAUAAGCAAUUUCAAACGAAUCCUGAAAAAUCAGCUGACUUAUGCAUGAACAAUACAUCAGCAGCAGACUGGUUCAACCAUCUAUCCUGAGGUCGACAAUCAUGUAAUUGAAUAUAUUGUCCUGUUAUCUGAAUAAAAUAAAGACCACUCAUAAACACGUGAUCCCCCUAUCCCUCCUCCUCCUCCGGUCCCUCUUUCUCAUUUUUCAUUCUUGUUGAUAUUUUUCAUUUGACUUCACAUAAUGACAUAUACAGUUCACAUUAAUUGAUAGCAUUACAUUCUUGUACGUGGAAUAUCUUUACUCUAUUUAUUUCAUCUUACCCUACUCCUCAUCCCUCAUCUUUCUUUCCUUGGACCAUUUCCCUAUUGCAAGAGACCCGUGCGGUUGUUCCUUUCUAACCAUCCUGUAUCAUUCUCUUUUUAUGUACCUUGCCUCAUUCAAAUGAGAGAUACUACACGGUACGAAAGCUUGCGUGUUUGGUUAUAUCACUCAAUGUUAUAUUUUCUAGGUACAUCCAUUUUCCUACAAAUAUGUCAAAUGUGUCACUUUUUAUAGCCAAGUAGUAUUCCAUUUUAUACAGGCACCAUAUUUUCUUUAUCUCAUCCUCUGUUGAUGGGUAUACAGGCC
rnacentral:lncRNA from 1 species